GUGGCAAAGACGAGGCAAAAACUGCAGUGUGUAAAGGACAACGGAGCGAACUGGGGAUUUAACUAUUCGCAAGAAACCAGAAUUUGGGUUUUAUGGUGCAUUUUCAAGUCACGGGAUCAAAACAGGUAUAUGGCACCUAAUCAACUUGGAUGGAGCUAUUCCUCAACUUGAGUGGUGGACCACAGACCGCCAGGAGCACACCAGACCGCAUGCUCACUGUUCACCGCAUACGUGCGUUCAUUCAGCACAGAUACGGCCGCAUAAAGGACGCCAACAUCAAUGGAGAGAGUCACGGGCUCUUUCUAGUUCUCUUAGUUCAAGACAGGAUUGCAUGGCUUCCGGAAUAAAUCCCAUGGAUAAAACUCCCAGCAACAUCUUUGAACGCAGAAGCACUAUGAUCUGAGAACAGAUGUGCUCACAUAUUUCAGAUGACCCAACACCUGUGAAGAGACAACACCAUCUCCUGUGAGGACUUCAGAAGGUGCCAACUCUGAAUCUACAUGUAAAACUGACAAAUUUAAACUAUAUAUUGUAAACAUUGUGAUCACAAAUUUUAAUAAGCUCAUUGUUUCUACCUAAAUGAACACGAUUGAUGUUAGCUAAUUGCAUGAUUUGUAUUAUCUUAGAACUGUAUAUUUCCAGCAUAUGGACAUUUGACACAAGUCAACUCUGAUUCCACUAAACUGUAAAGUAGAAACAUGCAUUUUCGUCCAGCUCCUUUGAAACGGUAUGUAUUGUGAAAAGCGCCUUCCAAAUAAACGUGAAUUGGGUUGAAUAUGGCUUGAGCAACCUGACUUGUCUU